CGACGCACGGAGAGGAGGGGGGAGGGGAGAAGGCACCGAGGGAAGGGAGGCCUGUGGCGGUGGUGGCGCUGGAAGUGGCUCAGUUUCAAUGUAGCUGAAGUAGGAGCCGAAUGAGGCAAAAAUGCCCCCGGGGACCGCAGGCCCCGCUGGGUGAGGCGGGCUCGAGUGGCCCCUGCUGGUUCUCCUUAUCAGAGCCUGGGGGGAGAGAGGGGGAGGGUUUGAGCAGGGUUCUCCUGUCCCUACUUGUCGCCUUUAAAUGCUACAGAUUUCCAUCUGCUUGCAAAACUCAAGAUGGCAGUGGAGAAAGAAGGACUGGAAGUGGAGCAUUCUCAAGGAUUUUGAGAUAUUGGUUCACAAUCUAUAUCUGCUUUGAAGAACUUAAAUACCCAGUCCCUAAGGCAAGAACUUUUCAAUAAGGUUAAACUUCUUGUCAACAUGUGUUGUUAGUAGAGAAGGAAAAAUAGGGCAUGAACCCAAAUUACAGAUUGGUGAAAUUUUAGCCUUGAUAAAGCUCCCACCUUUGUUGUAUGGAUAAAAUGGAAUCUAUGUAGUACUCAUUUGGGAUUGCAGUCAAAUAAGUGGCCUUCCUAGUACUACAGUAUAGUGUUAGAAUUAAAUGGUAUGCCUUGAUAUUGCAUUCUUGCAUUUUUUUCCCAGCUUAUCAAGUGAUUCUAGCCAGUAGAGGGAAAUUUUAAAAAACUGUGCUUCUAGUUUAAGUUUACUAAUACAAGAAAUUGGAAACAUUUUUUAAUUGUGUCAACAGGCAUGAAUUUAAUCUACUCAUUACUGCGUUCCAGUUACCUCCCAAAAUGUUCCAUUUACAGACUUUUUAUACAGACUUGCAAGUAAUCUCUCAUUUGGUGCUCCCACACCUGCACUUUCUGAAGAUCCAUAGUGACAGAUCAUGUUGACAGUUCCCAAGUUCAACCCUAAAAUUUCAAGUUGAAAAGUUUUGAAGUGACCACAUUGAGAGAGAUCUCUGUUUGAAAAUGUAAGAGCCAUUGCCAGUUGAACUAGGUGGCACUAGACUAGAUGAAGCAGUGGUGUGGUAGGCUAAAGCAUCAUCAUAUAUAUUUAGGUGAGCUCAAAAAAAAAUUAAGGGUUUAAAAGUGCCCAGGGAAGUACAGGUGGGCAUCAUGCUGAGGGAUUUGUGAGUUAUGUACUCAAACAUACCGUUUCUUCCAAACACUUAUCAUAUGUCUGUUUUGAACUGAAAAUAGAUAAAACCUAUUUUUUCAUUCUUUUUUUAUAGUAAAAUAUAUGGCUAGGAGAUCCAUUAUUCCUGUUUGCUCAGAACAUUCUGUUAUAUCCUUUUACUGUAUCCUUUCUUGGGACUUAUCACUUGAUACUGUUGAAUUGUUUUGCUUACAUGAAGAGCUGUCCACCAAUUAAUCAUAUGUCUCCUAACCAAAUUUAAAAUAAAUUUCCAUUUUCAAUA